CCUACGGGAGGCAGCAGUGAGGAAUAUUGGUCAAUGGACGCAAGUCUGAACCAGCCAUGCCGCGUGCAGGAUGACGGCUCUAUGAGUUGUAAACUUCUUUUGUACGAGGAUAAACGCAGAUACGCGUAUCUGUCUGAAAGUAUCUUAUGAAUAAGGAUCGGCUAACUCCGUGCCAGCAGCCGCGGUAAUACGGAGGAUUCGAGCGUUAUCCGGAUUUAUUGGGUUUAAAGGGGGCGCAGACGGUCUGUUUAGUCAGCUGUGAAAGCUCGGGGCUCAACCCCGGCACUGCGGUUGAAACUGGCAGUCUCGAGUUGGAUAGAAGUAUGCGGAAUGCGCGGUGUAGCGGUGAAAUGCAUAGAUAUCGCGCAGAACUCCGAUUGCGAAGGCAGCAUGCCGGCUCGACACUGACGCUGAGGCACGAAAGCGUGGGUAUCGAACAGGAUUAGAGACCCGAGUAGUC
rnacentral:rRNA from 1 species